rnacentral:lncRNA from 1 species
CCGCCCUUCUAUCGGAUUAGUAGUUGUAGCAUUAAACUAAAUAUACAAGUCAAAUAAAACAAUUCUUUAAACUGCUCUGCUGUCCAUAUUUGAUUUUCAAAACAGCGAUCGUUCCUUUCUCUCUACUCAUACCAUACAAUGCAUCCUCGAAUGAGAUUCCAAACAAGCUAGUUAUUCUUAUUUCGAAGCUUUCUCCUCCAUGCAUGCAUCACGGCCUCUAUACGUCUUGGCAACACCCAACUCAUAUGAUGAGAAGCCAGAAUAUCGUUCCACAGUCAACAAAUACCAUCAUAAUGAAUGAAUAAAUGGUUAAUCGUCUUUCCAUUCCUCUUACAGAUAUAGCACCACUUGGUAAUAUAAUAACCUUUUCUUUCAAGAUUGUCCACCAUCAACACCUGUCCCCUCACAACCAUCCAUAAGUAAAAUGCUACCAUCGGAGGCAAUUUACAUUGUCAUACCCUCUUCUAGGGGAAUGAACUUUCUACAGGUUCCAAUAAGGAUCCUAAAUAAGUCCAAACAGAAAUUACCAUUUUCAUGCCACCCUCCACCUACAACAAUUGUCCUUUCCCACUUGGAUGUGCACCUUAAGCAAAGAGGUCAAAAAUAGCGCAUAAUCAUUUGAUUCUCAAUCCUGUAAACCCCUUCUAAAAGCGAUGUUCCAGCUAGGACUCCCAUUAGUAUAGCUAUUACAUCAUUCACCGUAGCAGAAGACUCCAAAGUAAUGCGAUGCAAAGAAGGAACCCGCACUUUUAGUGGUUGAUCUCUAUACUAACAAUCUUCCCAAAUUUGACAUUCGUACCAUUCCCCACCACAAAAGCCAAUCUAUCCCGAAAAUUAC